rnacentral:rRNA from 1 species
GAUGAACGCUGGCGGCGUGCCUAAUACAUGCAAGUCGAGCGAACAGACGAGGAGCUUGCUCCUCUGACGUUAGCGGCGGACGGGUGAGUAACACGUGGAUAACCUACCUAUAAGACUGGGAUAACUUCGGGACACCGGCGCUAAUACCGGAUACUAUAUUGAACCGCAUGGUUCAAUAGUGAAAGACGGUUUUGCUGUCACUUAUAGAUGGAUCCGCGCUGCAUUAGCUAGUUGGUAAGGUAACGGCUUACCAAGGCUACGAUGCGUAGCCGACCUGAGAGGGAGAUCGGCCACACGGGAACUGAGACUCGGCCCAGACUCCGACGGUAGGCAGCAGUAGAGAAUCUUCCGCAAUGGGGGAAAGCCUGACGGAGCAACGCCGCGGGAGUGAUGAAGGUCUUCGGAUCGUAAAACUCUGUUAUUAGUGAAGAACAAAUGUGUAAGUAACUAUGCACGUCUUGACGGUACCUAAUCAGAAAGCCACGGCUAACUACGUG